CCAGGGCGGAAAUAGGGGAAAGAAAAACCGAGAAAAAAUGGACUAGAAGAAUAAUGGAGGAGGAGAGAAAGUUUAGGGCGGCUUUAAAUGUCAUCCAACGUCUUCCGAAAAGCGGUUCGUUUCAACCCUCGAACGAGAUGAAACUUGGUUUCUACGCGCAUUUCAAGCAGGCGACACGUGGACCAUGUACACAGGCGCGGCCGGGUUUCUGGGAUCCAGUUGGACGAGCUAAACAUGACGCCUGGGCCCGCCUAGGCAACAUGUCAACUCAGGACGCUAUGCAAGGUUAUGUUGAUCUUCUAACACAGAUAAUUGAGACAAUCAACUUCUCUGCUGAUGUUCAAGAGUUUAUAGAGGUACUUGGCCCGUUUUAUGAGUUUGUCGAGGAUAAACUAACUCCGGACCGAAAAGUGGACCCGGAGGUACUCCAGAAUCCUUCCCCCGUAGUGGGUUCCACAAUCUCCAUGGAAACCUCGGAAUGCUCUGAACCCGAGAUGAAUUCUAGUAUUGGAGACAUGCUUGGUCAGUUUGAUAUUCCAGAGGGAUUUAAUUUUAAUCGUGUUGAACCAGACACAGAGUUUAUCAAUGGAAUUCAGGGAAUCAUAAACCAGGGACAGCGUGAAGCUGGAACAUUCUCACAGAAUCUGGCGUGCGAGGAAAAAUUGGCGUCAAAUUUUGCCGCCGGUUUAGAUCAGAAUCAUAAUUCAUUCUUGACCCAGGAGGAGGAUCGGUUUCUAGAUGAGCUACGAGGACUAGAGGGGAGCUUACAGUCUAGUAUUCAUAUGAUGAGAGAUAUCAAGAGCACAGCUGAUCCUUCUUUAACCUCGAGAACAGCAGCCUCUGAUCCUGUUGCAACCUCCGUCUCAAGAACAGCAGCCUCGGCUCCUAAGAUAUCCUCAGAAGUCGGUUAUAGUGAAUUAUCCCAACAAGAAAUCGAUAGGAUGUUGGAUAGGUUUGAUGGUUUUAUCGGUUCAGACUCAGGGUCUACUCAAACAGACAAGGAGGUUCAGUUAUCAGGGUCUAUUAAAACAUUGGUGGGGGGUGAAUCUGUUCAGAAAAUUACCACAACAGCAGGAGAGGAAGGUUCAGACUCGGAUUCGGAGGAUAUUUUUGAGGAUUCUGUAGAGUCAACCGCGGCAUUAGAGGCGACUACUGCGCGCUGCACUGAUACAUAUACAAGAAGUGUACAUAGUAAUGAUGAAAUUAAGAUUGAGGGGAGUGUGAGGAAGGGCUACGAGUUCGGGAAGGGUAGUGAAGGUCACGUGAAGGGAAGUGAGGGUCACGUGAAAGGAAGUGAAAAUCACGUGAUCCCUGAGAUAAAAAUCACCUCCGAGUAUAUUUACAGUGAGGGAUUCCUCAACAGUCUGGUCGGGUCUCCAGAGUCAUUUAACAAAUUCAGGAGUGGGAGCUCUGAGAAGGUAGUGUCGGUGUCCCUGAAGGACGAGUUGGACGAGGACGAGAUCCUCGUCAUUAACUCCGAACCAAGGGAGGAGGAGUCUCCAGUCCGGAGGAGCGAGACGGAAACAGACAGGUUCCUGGAGGGUAUAGUGGAUCAUCUGAACCAUGAGCUAGAGAGGGUCAACACAAACCUUGGUCAUAUGAUCACAGGGUUGGAUCACGUGACUGCACGUGUCUCUGGGUUAGAAUUGAACAUGGCGCAGAUGACAAAUCGUCUCAACACUAUCGAGUACCUACUCCAGAUGGUUGUGACCCGUGAGAGUGGUUGGUUUGACCGCAAAGCUAGUCUUACCCUUCCGAUUCUUGCCUGCGCUGCAGUCCUCAUAGCCAGGGUUUUUUAUGAGCGAAGAAGAUUGUGAAAAUUUUUGUUUUUGGUUCCUUCUCUGUUCCUUGUAGAUGAGUAUGUUACAGUGGGAAUCAUAAAACUGUGGAGUAAGAAGACGAAGUUUAGACGCAGGCUAUUUUUUAAAUAGUUCAACAAACAUGAAACACAGCAAAUGUGCAGUGUACACAGAUCAAUUUCACCUAAUUAGUCAAGCUACUACAGUUCGUCCCAUAUCAUAAUAGAUUAUCUCCAAGCUUAGACGUCAAAAUAAACACAUAUUACAAAAAAAUCUAGCAUUUUUUGCAAGAAAAUUGUUAUUUUAGCCUUAUUUAGUUUUGUUUCCCCCGAAAAUGGUAAUUUAGACCCAUUGACGGUCAAAUAUCAUGUGGGACACUCUGUAGUUUAAAAUUUGCUUUACCUGCAAAUACACACAAUGCAAUAAUACUAUUUUUAAUAAGAAUUGUUUUGGGACCAUACUGUGUACAAUAUAGUAGUAGUACUAGUAGUAUAAUGAUUUAUACUGCAAUUCUUAGAAAUAUUGCAGUUAAUAUCAUUAUUAUUAUCAUUAUUAUGUAAUAGAUAUCUACCUGGUUGUAUGUAUAUCCAUUCAUUAAUUACAAGGUUACCAUUAUGUAACAUAUAUGUAAUUAGGGGGCAUUUUCCCUUCACAAUUAUUUAUAAGAAACUUUAAUCAAAACAAAUGUAAUUGUGAAAUAAAAAAAAGUAUUUUUUGCAGAUGAAAAUUUUUAAUUCAAAUAUUGAUUUUCUUGACUUUUCUUAAAAAAAAAAAAAAAAAUUUUUAUGUUGUUAACAAUGACACUGAAAAACUGUCACAGAUUUUAUUUUGUUUUAUUGUUAUGACUUAGAUUUUAUUAUAGCGUUAUGUAUAUGUUUUGUUAUCGUUUGUUACAUGUUGUGAUUUUCUGUAUUUUGAUUAUUAUGAUUAUUAUUAUUAUGUGAUUUUUGGUCAACUGGAAAUUAUUGAUCUCAUCUGAUUUUGUCAAUUUAUACAUUUAAAAAGUUGAUUUUUAGUUUGUUAAAUAGUUCAAAAGAACUUAUUACUCGUCUCAAAUUCUGAACAUUCUAAGCUUCAUAUCUUUGCAACCUUUAAUCGUGUACUUUUGAUAUUUUAAAAUUUGUAUUUUGUCAGAUCAAAUAGUCAAAGUUUAAAUUUUACACUUUAAGAUUGAAAAGAUAUUGGGGUGAACAAAAUAAGCGUUUUUGCAAGUAACCAGUUUUUUUUAAAGUUCAAAGUACUUAAAGUGACUGUAAGUUUAAUUUCAAGUAACCCUCUUUGCAAAGAUGGCAAUGUCCGAUUUUCACCGGUACCCUGGAAAACCCUAAUCUGAUAAUAAAUGUGAAAAACCGUAGUUUUUCUGACUCGAAAUGUGUUUUUUUCUUGUGUGAGUUUCUCCAAUUUCCAUUGCCUCUCAUAAACAAGAAAUGCGCCAGUAACUUUCGUAGAGAAACCGCAACUGAAAAUAAACAGAUUAAAGAAACAAAAACAUUGAUAUAUAAUUCAUACUUGAUCAGACAAUGCUUUCAAGGGAACCGUUGAAAAUCGGGCAUUUUCAUCAAGUUGCCACUUGAAAUUACGUUGACAGUCCCUUUAAAAUCAGUUUAGUGUUUUCACAAGUUUUAAUCCACCAGCUUUCUUGUAAUUGUAUGAACAGGGGUAUAUAUCUAUGUUUAUAUAUAUAAAUUUGUUGAAAAGGGUUUUAUAUGGAAUAACCUCUUUAAAAUUCAAACGUUAAUAUUUUUUAGUCGGAAUUAAUUCCAGUCCAAGAAGCUUGAAAACCGCGUGCGCGCCGAUUUAGAAAAUAAUUUUCGAUUCAAAAGUUCUAGUCUACUUUAGAAAAUACCAUUUGUUUUUAAAUCAAAACAUGGAUUGAAUGUACAUAUACUUACUUAGUACUUACCCCUGUUUUAAAAUGAAGCACUGUGAUAGUACCAAUGUUAGUUCUAGACCGUUUCACUAAAUAAUAAUUGUAUCUGUAGAUAUGUGACCGAUUCACUAAAUAAUAUUUGAAUCUGUAGAUAUGUUUCGACAAUGGAAAUUUCAAAGGUUAAAACUAAAAAUGUCUUUUCAAUGUUAUUUUUCUUUAAGUCUUUUGGCGCUUAGUUGGCUCCUAUGGCAAUCUUGUUUUUGUUCAAUAGUGCUAAAUUAUGACUUAAACAUUUUUUAUUGCGGAAAACUUAAAACCAGAAAAAAAUAAAACGUUACAAACUUGUGAAUUGGGCAUUGUGCACUAUAGUCUGAAAAUUAUCCUUAUAUUAAUCUCACCUAGUCAUGUAAACUUCCAAAUAAUUCGAUGGUUCACAUUGUACUUUUUGUAAAAAACACUGUGCUGGAUUGUUAUAUUGUUGUGUAAACAGUGGACUCUAUGUACUGGUGCAAUGUAUGAUAGCUGUAGUACACUAUAGAAGGUUAUUUUACAUUGUACUCAAUGAGUAAAAAUAUGUUCUGGUUACUGUAUGUUGUUUACAAUUAGGCUGGUAAAAGUUCUGUGAACGAACCGGUGUAUCUAAAUUAACAAAUUAACGGACAUUUUUCGUUAACGAGCUGAACCAGUUGUAACCAAUAGUUUUUUAACGAACAGUUAACACAGUUACUUUAACUUUAAACAAACGGAUUGAAAAAACGUGACCAGCCCUAUGUAAAGUAACUAUACUGUACUGUGUUAUACAGAGUAUACCAUAUCAUAUUGGAUUUUUUCCAAGGGUUAACGCCAAAUUACGCACAUAAUUUUUGAAAAACCUAUUAUUUUCUGCAAGGGAAUUAGCCUUAUGCAAUUUUUCAAUUCAUUUUUCUUAGAUUUUCUGACGUAAAUCGUAAUUUAGAGCCAUUAACGAUCCAUUAUGAUGUGGGACACCCUGUAUAUUCUGAAAAAUUGUGAUUUGAUUGAUACUUGAUAGAUAUUUGAUACAGCGUAGAUAGAUUUGUAAUUGUAAAGCGAAAACUAUGUACAAUGUACAUAGUUUCAUAUAUUAAUGUACUUGUUAGCUGUUUCACUGUUAGCUAGGGAUAAUUGUGAG